GUUGAACUCAGAGAAGACCGCCCCAGAGUGUUGCUGGCGAUGGAGUCCAGGUACCAUUUCUGCUCCUGCUUGCCGCCCACACGUCCGAGAUGGACUUGGGCGCGUGGCUCGUCGAGGUCGACGGUCUUCAAAGCUUUCCCAUGCUCCGCGGCCAUCUCCUUUUUUUCCUUUGUGCCUCGACAUUGUGCAGUGCACAGAACAUCGCCAUCAGGAGUGUGGCCUCAUCAUCGUCAUCAGCCUGCGCGAGAUGAGCCUCUGCCUUUUUCUCCUGCUUGCGGUUUGGGCACUCCUUUGCCCAGUGGCCCGUCUCCCCGUAGCGCCGGCAGGCAUUGGGGUCGACCUUUUUCUUCUUCUUCUUCAAAGAAGCCUUGCCACAGUCCUUGCCGUCGCCACCGUAGCUGGAAGAGGCUUCACCAGACUUCUUUUCCUUCAUCCGAGCAGUCCACUCCUCUGUCAGCAACAGCUUGCCGCUGUCCGUCGUUGCCGUGACCUGCUCCAUGCGCUCAUCCACCGCCCGCAGAUGACCAGUCACAUACUCAUUGGUGAGGGUGGACAGGUCCAGCAUCGUCUCCAUGGAGAGAGCGAUCUGGAUGUACUUCACCGGCAUGGAGUGGAGGUACUUGGAGACUGCAUCUUCUUCAUUGAUGGUGAUGCUGUGGCUCCCUAGAUGGCUGAUGAGUGAUUGCAGUCGGAGGGAGAAGUCUCUACUGCCUCACCGUCGCGGAACUUGAUGUUGGCGUACUCCUGCUUCAGGAAUUGGGCCUUCGCCUUCUUUGCAUGAUCGGAGCCGAUGCACAUGGCCACGAUGGCAUCCCAAGCUUCCUUCGCAGUCUUCUUCGCCCCCAGUGGCUCUUCUUCAUUGUUGGUGCCCUUGUCAAUGGCGUUCCAGAGCCGUCGGGCCCUGAGGUUGACCUUCAUGGUCACCGCCCACUGGCUAUAGUUGGUGUGAGUCAGUGUCGACCAACUGGUGCUGCUGACCUCCCGCACAAUCGCACAAUGACCUCCUGUUGUGGCUGAGCAGCACCGGCAGCACCGCUGCCAUUGGCUGUCUCCGAGUCCGAGUCACCCGCCAUUGCUGGCGAUUAGCCUGGCGACGUAGCUGUACGGCUCCGAUACCACUUGUUGGUCCCAGGAUUUCCUGCACAGCUAAGCAACUUGCUUACCAGCACACCCACACACACCGCUUUAGGUAGUUUUUUUUUUAUUUUUUAUUUACAACAGGUAGAAGAAGGGGUUGAGCACAGAUCACACACACACACACUCUGAAACUCUGAAUGUUCUGCCCUUUUCUAUUGCAUUGGAUGUAGUAUAUAUACAACUCUUGUACCAACUAUAAGGUACACAAGAGUAUGGCUGAGUACAGCCCCAACUACUCCUAGUACUACAAGUACCUUGCUUAGAUCAGCCCACUACCAAGACAUGGCUGAUGUAGUUUCUACCAACCACUAGUACUAGAUGGCCUAUUGCCUUACAAGCUACAGCAUUAGGGAAUGGACAGCCAUGCUGACCAGUUCCUAAUCCUUAUCUGCGGCAAAGAGAGAAUUGGGGAGCAGUAGAUGUCUUAUAAUUCUGACUUAGCAUUUGCUGCAACUGUAUUAAUGCAACAUUAUUUACUGACAAACAGGAAACCAGUUAAAGCUGCUAUUGCUGCAACUGCUGAGUAUGUAUCUGGUCUACUUCCUCCACAUUUGGUUUAUAGCCAUGCUCAUGAAACUGCAAUUGAGGUUUGUUGCCUCUUUAUAUACAUUUGUUUUCUUAUCUGUAAACAAAGAUUAUCUGCUGUAAAAUAUUUGAAUUCCCAAUAUGUCAAUUUCUUGCUCCUUUUGCGUUUUGAGUACUACUAGCAAAUAUGACACAAAAAAAAGCUAUCCAACAUUCCACUUGUUGGCUGCACAGCUACAACAGCUGCAACAACUUAAAUUCGUAUAAGUGCUACCUUUUUAUGUUCAGCAAUCACAAACAAACGGGUCCGUUAAUAGAAAUAAGGACGUCAAUAUUACAUAUCUAUUUACUUUUUAUCCUUUCUACAAAAUUUAAAAGUUAUACUUUAUUUUGUGUUGACCAUAGUGUUUAUAAUAUAAGGCCCCGUUUGGUUUCCUCCGGUAAAGUUUAACUCUUGUCACAUCAAAUGUUUGGACACAUGCAUGAAAUAUUAAAUAUAGAUUAUUUACAAAACUAAAUCUACAGUUCCUAUUAAACUUUAACACCCCCAACCAAACACCCCCUAAGUAAAUGUUAGUAAUAAUGUAUAAUAAUGUCUUAAUAAUUCUGUGUUCGAUUAAAAUAUAACCUUGAUGUAUUUUGUUGUUGUAAUGAACAAAAAAUAUUUACUUGUAAUUAUAUUGUAAUUUUAGUUUUCAUACUAUUUAUGUGUUCAUAUAGUUAGAUAUCAAGUUCUGUGGCUUCUUUUGAGUCUACACAAAAACAUCUAAAUAUCUUAUUAAAGUCGGCAAGGGGUUAGUCGUCAUCAUUUCAAUAAUUGGUCUCUCUAUUGAUGAGUACGAAGUAUGACCGAGAUCUCUCUCGAUUUCCACAAGUCAGCAUUUGUUGAGAGUUGUACUGAUAUAUAUGAACAACUUGGAAAUUUGUAGUGGUAUAUGCGGAUAACUGGAAGAACAUUUAAUUUGAUAAGAUUGGUGACAAAUAUUUCAAUUUAAAUUGUGAUUAGCUAGUCCUACUGAUUUAUAUUGUAGUAAUAAUUUAUUGUAAUAAUUUAUUCUAAUCAAAAUUACAUUAAGAGCUUAGUGAUAGAAAUAUUUAUUUAUUGUAGGUAAUGGUCAAAGUUUUGAAUACCCGUGUAAGCUGUAAUCUGUUGCUGUCCUGUCUUCCUUUCCCAGCUGCAGCAAAGACUUUUGGGUCAGCUUGUGCUGUCCAUCUCUUGUGCUGUAGCAAGUAAGGCAAUAGGCCACUUAAGUUACAGUUGGUAGAAGUACAUCAGCCAUGGUAGUGGGCUGAUACUUGAGUGGACGUACUAGGAGUAGGUUGUUGGUGUACUCACCAUACCUUAGUGUACCUGAGCUCAGCACACACACACUCAGGGUGUUUUCUUCUACAUCUAGCUGCUGGUGUGAGUGAGGGAAGCUUAGCAGCUUACCUGAGCUUGGAUUGUAGGGGCCAACAAGUGGUAUCAGAGCCGUACAUCUUCGUCGUCGCUGCGCUUAACCACCAGCGAUGGCUGGAGUUGAUGACACCACGAGUAGCACGAGUGCCGACAAGAUUGCUGAACCUACGUCACCACGACGGGAGGUCGUCCCGCGCACGGUGCGGGAAGUCAGUUGCAACUCAUGGCCACAGCUGACCUGCACCAACUACGACGAGUGGGCGGUGACCAUGAAGGUCAAACUCCGGGCGCGGAAGCUCUGGAUGGCGAUUGAGAAGGGCACCGACGUGGAGGACGAUGAUGUCUCUGCAAUGGAGGCGCUGCUGUCCUCCACACCACCGGAGUACCACCAGAUGCUGGGAGAGAAGAAGAACGCCAAGGACGUGCUUGCGUCCAUGCGCAUUGGCUCGGCUCGAGCCAAGAAGGCGAAGGUGCAGCAGCUGCACCGCGACUUCGACGACAUGAAGUUCCGUCCAGGCGAGGCGGUGGAGGACUUCGGGCUGCGCCUGUAGUCCCUUGUCAGCCAGCUCGCGGUGUUCGGUAAGGUCAUGGAGGAGGAGGUAGUCUCCAAGUUUCUGCGCGUUGUUCCGCCUAAGUACACCCAGAUUGCUCUCUCCAUUGAGACAAUGCUGGAUUUGGAGACCCUCACGAUCGAGGAUCUCACGGGGCGGCUGCGGGCGGUCGAUGAGCGCAUCGAGCCAACGACGGCGGAGAAGGAGAAGGACAGCGGCAAGUUGUUGCUAACUGAGGAGUGGACCGCGCGGAUGAAGGAGCGGUGGUCCGGGAAAGCUCCGCCUCGGACCGCAAAGGCGGCAACAAGCGGCACAGCAAGGCGCCGCAGGACAAGAAGAAAAAGUAUGACCCCAACGCCUGCUGGCGGUGCGGGAAGAUCGGGCACUAGGCCAAAGAGUAAUCGACCAGGAAGCCGGAGAAGGAGGCACACCUGGCUCGGGAGGACGACGAUGAUGAGCACAUGCUUCUCAUGGCGUCGUUCUACACCCUCCACGACGUCGAGGCUGGCGGAGAAACAGAGGAGGCAGGGAAGAUGGAGCGGGGGAGCGCGUCAGCAACUGUCGACCUCGACGAGCCACGGGCUCAAGUCUGCCUUGGUGCGGUGAAUGGCGAGCAGGAGCAGAGGUGGUACCUGGACUCUGGAGCCAGCAACCACAUGACUGGCUCUAGGGGGCGUUCUCCGAGCUCGACGGCGGCGUCACUGGCUCGGUCAAGUUCGGCGAUGGUUCUCGGGUGGUGAUCCGAGGCCGUGGCACCGUCAUCUUCCGGUGCCGGAAUGGCGAGCAUCGCGCUUACGGAUGUGUACGACAUCCCAAAGCUGCGCUCGAGCAUCAUCAGUCUCGGGUAGCUCGACGAGCGCGGCAGCGAAGUGGUAAUCAAGGAUGGUGUGCUCAACAUCAGGGAUCGAGAGCGACGGCUUCUUGCGAAGGUGAAUCGAUCCCGCAAUCGGCUCUAUCUGCUUGAUCUGAAGAUAGAGCAUCCAUGUGCUUAGCGGCACAACGCAUGGAGGAGCCAU
rnacentral:lncRNA from 1 species